rnacentral:rRNA from 1 species
AGUCAUGGUUAAGUGGGAAACGAUGUGGGAAGGCCCAGACAGCCAGGAUGUUGGCUUAGAAGCAGCCAUCAUUUAAAGAAAGCGUAAUAGCUCACUGGUCGAGUCGGCCUGCGCGGAAGAUGUAACGGGGCUAAACCAUGCACCGAAGCUGCGGCAGCGACACUGUGUGUUGUUGGGUAGGGGAGCGUUCUGUAAGCCUGUGAAGGUGUGUCGUGAGGCAUGCUGGAGGUAUCAGAAGUGCGAAUGCUGACAUAAGUAACGAUAAAGCGGGUGAAAAGCCCGCUCGCCGGAAGACCAAGGGUUCCUGUCCAACGUUAAUCGGGGCAGGGUGAGUCGACCCCUAAGGCGAGGCCGAAAGGCGUAGUCGAUGGGAAACGGGUUAAUAUUCCCGUACUUGGUGUUACUGCGAAGGGGGGACGGAGAAGGCUAUGUUGGCCGGGCGACGGUUGUCCCGGUUUAAGCGUGUAGGUGUGUGUUCCAGGUAAAUCCGGUUCACUUUAACACUGAGGCGUGACGACGAGGCACUACGGUGCUGAAGCAACAAAUGCCCUGCUUCCAGGAAAAGCCUCUAAGCAUCAGGUAACAUCAAAUCGUACCCCAAACCGACACAGGUGGUCAGGUAGAGAAUACCAAGGCGCUUGAGAGAACUCGGGUGAAGGAACUAGGCAAAAUGGUGCCGUAACUUCGGGAGAAGGCACGCUGACACGUAGGUGAAGUGAUUUACUCAUGGAGCUGAAGUCAGUCGAAGAUACCAGCUGGCUGCAACUGUUUAUUAAAAACACAGCACUGUGCAAACACGAAAGUGGACGUAUACGGUGUGACGCCUGCCCGGUGCCGGAAGGUUAAUUGAUGGGGUCAGCGCAAGCGAAGCUCCUGAUCGAAGCCCCGGUAAACGGCGGCCGUAACUAUAACGGUCCUAAGGUAGCGAAAUUCCUUGUCGGGUAAGUUCCGACCUGCACGAAUGGCGUAAUGAUGGCCAGGCUGUCUCCACCCGAGACUCAGUGAAAUUGAACUCGCUGUGAAGAUGCAGUGUACCCGCGGCAAGACGGAAAGACCCCGUGAACCUUUACUAUAGCUUGACACUGAACAUUGAGCCUUGAUGUGUAGGAUAGGUGGGAGGCUUUGAAGUGUGGACGCCAGUCUGCAUGGAGCCGACCUUGAAAUACCACCCUUUAAUGUUUGAUGUUCUAACGUGGACCCGUUACCCGGGUUGCGGACAGUGUCUGGUGGGUAGUUUGACUGGGGCGGUCUCCUCC